UACGAAGGGGGCUAGCGUUGCUCGGAAUCACUGGGCGUAAAGCGCACGUAGGCGGCUUUUUAAGUCAGGGGUGAAAUCCUGGAGCUCAACUCCAGAACUGCCUUUGAUACUGAGAAGCUCGAGUCCGGGAGAGGUGAGUGGAACUGCGAGUGUAGAGGUGAAAUUCGUAGAUAUUCGCAAGAACACCAGUGGCGAAGGCGGCAUCCUGGACCGAGACUGACGCUGAGGAGCGAAAGCCAGGGGAGCAAACGGG
rnacentral:rRNA from 1 species